GCCCCAGUGGGCUUCCUUAAGGGGAGGAUAGGGGUAUUACAGGGCGAGCUGAUGAGGUAUGAGGAGCCCCUGUUGUUUGAGGCGGUCUAUGAUGAACUUAAAUCCUUAUAGGUGUGUCAGGGAGAUGGGGAACUGAGGACGGGCUGGAUAGGUAGAUUGGUCUUUGAGUCUGAUUUUUAUAGGUUGAUGGUGUGACACCACAACUGGCUUGGAGGUAUCCCAGACCAGGGGGACACCAGAAGGGGAAGAGUAAGGUGGCUAGAGGUGGUGGGAGAGGGGGAGAGUCGUAUAGUGGCCCUGAGUUUAUGGAGAAUGUCCCUUCCAAGAAGGGACACCGGGCAAGAGGGAAUGAUAAGGGAAGAGUGAGCAAAAGGGAACCCGUCCAAGCUACAAGUGAGGGGCGGGGUUGACCUAGGACUGGAGGAGGUGCCAUCAGUUCCCAUCACCAUCACUGGGGAGGGGUGACUAGGUCCCGAAUAGGAGGGCAGGACAGAAUAGGUCACCCCCGUGUCCAGCAAGAAGGAUAUGGACUUACCCGCUACCUGGAGCGUAACCCUGGGCUUGGCAUGGGUGAGUAGGGUGUCCGAGUCUGGGCGCUGUCAGUCGUCCUCCACACCCAGUAGUCGGAAAGCCGGAUUCACCGAUUCAGGGUCUCCUCCACGUGGAGGCGGAUCUAAUUGGGUUAUUGGGUUAAGGCUUCCCUAAGUCUAUUUAGAAACACGGGAGGGUUCUCAUCGGGGUUCUCAACGAUUUCUCGCAGUUUGUCAUAAUUGACCACCUUGUUUGAGGCCGCCCUCAUGCCCGCCAGGAGGCAUUGCCCCAUGCGGUCCCGGCGUCCGCGGCCCUCCUGGCCGGCCUGGUAAUCCCAUCCGGGAUCCGCCGCUGGGAUCCACUGCCAGGAUCUGCCUCCGGGAUCCGCCGGGGCGCCCACGGGCAUCGUGAGGCCGGGAGCCGGGCCUGGUCGGCGUGUUCCCGCGCCGCUGCCGACUGCGCUCUCUCUUCAGGAGUGAGAGUCGUGGUCUGCACCACAGGUAGGUGGUGCCAUGUAAGGUCACAGGCCUGAGCUAAACACUGAAAUUCUUUGAUGUAGUUACCUGGGCUGGCAGAGAAAGAGCCCAGCCGUUUUUCAGCUCCUCCCGCAAGGGGCAGACAAGGCCCGACGGUGUCUGGUGAGAUCUGGGCCGGCGGCGACCGGAGGGGAGGUCGAGGAGGUGGGGGAGCCGGAGGGGAAGGAGUAGGAGGGACAGCGUUGGGUUCAGGGUAAGGGGGAGGUGGAGGAGCCGCUGGCCCCAAGCGGUGGGAGGAUGUGAGGUUCUCCGGGCUUUCGGAAAGGGGAGAAGGGGAGUAAGAGUCGAGGUCCUUGGGGUUGGUAGGAGGUAUGUCGGGAGGUGGGGUACGGGCAAGUAGGACUUGGGUAGGCGAACAUCGAAGGCGGAGGGAGGGCCAGGAGCGCAGAUCCCAGGAAGCUUGUAUGUAAGGAACCUCGGACCAUUUGCCUUGGUGUCUGCAAAGGUUAUCAAGAUCCAUAAGAAUUUGGUAAUCGAAAGUUCCCUCUGGAGGCCUUCGGGACCGGUUGUCUAAUUGGUAUUGAGGCCAGGCUCCCGUACAACAAUGGGUAAGGCGACGCCUCCUCAGGUCAUGGGAGAACCCCAAGACGUCAAGGUUAGGCAGCCCAAUGGAGUUUUCAGACCAAUCCUGGACUGGGUGUUUCCCAUAGUCCUGGUUGGGCAAUUCCAAGGUCAAAACCCGGGGUCCCGGUUCGUCCUUGGAAUUAGAGCGAGGACGACCGCGGACGGCGAGCUCCCCCACACCCCGCGGGGCAGGAGGCCGCUGGUGGUCCUGGCCGGGAGAGGAGUCAGCCGUCCGUCACCCAGGCUUGAGAUCUUCUGGGAACUGGAAGGAGAUAUUAAUGAUGACGUGCAGCAGAGGUAGUGAGCAAACAGUGAGUUCCACAAGAGUUCACAGAGAAGAGAGUCAAAGGCAGCAAGAGACCAUUCGUGCAGGAGCUGAGGGGCAUGGAAUCCAGAUAUUGAGCAACCUAAGAGGCAGAUCCUGCCUUCCCACUUAGAACAGCAGGAAGUGCGAGCCGUGCUCCCUGGCCACAAGGGUAUUGAUUUUCCUUUAUAAGAUAAAGAAACCAAUGUAAAGGUAUCCUCUCCUCUUCUGGACGUUUGUGUGCUUCCAUGUGACAUAUAAGCCUUUGGGAUAUUGGUAGAAAUGAGGAGGAACACCAUGGCUGACGUGCUUGAAGAUCCCAGAGUGGAGAGGCAGGGAGCAUCAGCGUUGGGUGAGCAGCAUGGUGGGGGGUGCCCAAAUUUUGGACUUCCUCUACAUUUUUAUGCCACAGUAUCAACGCUGGAACUACCUUACCUGGGACUUGACUGAGGUUACAAGCUCUGCUUGAAGUGACUGUUAGCUGGGUAUCCGUUUCAUCCCACUGUAUCGUGCUGCAGAGUGCAUUCCUCCCCUGAAGAAGUGGGCAGCAUGCAGCUCCUGCCGGUUGCUGCCAGACCAGGAGUCCUCAGGAGCAGCCAGGACUUCAGAUUUUUAUAUAAAACUCCAGAUUUAAAAAAAAAAAAAAAAAAACCUCCAGAUUUUUUAAU